AAGUCGUAACAAGGUUUCCGUAGGUGAACCUGCGGAAGGAUCAUUAACACGUAUCCAACGUUAAACCCCCCUGUGAACUUUUAUACUUGCUCUCUUAACUGACGGAAUUGCAAUCCCUGGUAAAUCAUUGUUGAACAGAUUUUGAUUCAGGGACCUCAGUUUGACAGUUAGGAUUGAGCGAUCGUUGCAAGUGGCCUGGUUUCCCCAAGCAGUCUCACUAGAGGCCGACACCGGCCGGUGACCAGGUCGCCGUGGCUUCGGCCCCCUAUAUUAACCCCACUACCUGAUUCCGCCUCGUAGGAAACUGCUGGGCAACAAAACGAACAACUGUUAACAAUGGAUAUCUUGGUUCUC
rnacentral:misc_RNA from 1 species